AUUGAACGCUGGCGGCAGGCCUAACACAUGCAAGUCGAACGGUAGCACAGAGAGCUUGCUCUCGGGUGACGAGUGGCGGACGGGUGAGUAACGUCUGGGAAACUGCCCGAUGGAGGGGGAUAACUACUGGAAACGGUAGCUAAUACCGCAUAACGUCGCAAGACCAAAGUGGGGGACCUUCGGGCCUCACACCAUCGGAUGUGCCCAGAUGGGAUUAGCUAGUAGGUGGGGUAAUGGCUCACCUAGGCGACGAUCCCUAGCUGGGCUGAGAUGAUAAUCAGCCCUACUUGAACUGAGACACGGUCCAGACUCCUACGGGAGACAGCAGUGGGGAAUAUUGCAGGAUGGGCGCAAGCCUGAUGCAGCCAUGCCGGGUGUAUGAAGAAGGCCUUCGGGUUGUAAAGUACUUUCAGCGGGGAGGAAGGCGGUGAAGUUAAUAACUUCACCGAUUGACGUUACCCGCAGAAGAAGCACCGGCUAACUCCGUGCCAGCAGCCGCCGUAA
rnacentral:rRNA from 1 species